GUGCUUGCUUGGCAGUGCAUAUACUAAAAUUAGAACGAUACAGAGAGUAUUAGCAUGGCCCCUGUGCAAGGAUGACACACAAAUUCAUAAAGUGUUCCUUAUUUUU
ensembl:snRNA U6 U6 spliceosomal RNA